rnacentral:rRNA from 1 species
CGGGGCAGAAAUCCGGUGUAGAGUGCAAGGGCAAAAGCCGGCCUAACUGGGAUCCCAACGUGACAGAUCUCAGUAGAGAAAUCUUGGCCUAGCGAUCCUUUGGUUCUCUUUGUUGGGGGCCAGAUGUGACCGAAAAGUUACUCCGGGGAUAACAGAGUUGUCGCGCCCGAGAGCUCAUAUCGACGGCGCGGCUUGCUACAUCGAUGUCGGCUCUUCCUAUCCUGGCCGUGCAGAAGCGGCCAAGGGUGGGGGUGUUCACCCAUUAAAAGGGAUCGUGAGCUGGGUUCACAACGCUGCGAGGCAGUUGGUAUGAUAUCUACUGGACCUGCGAAGCGUCUGAGGGGAAGGAUCAUUUAGUACGAGAGGAACGAUGACUCCACGCCUCUAGUCUACCGGUUGUCUGGAAAGGCAGGCCGGGCAGCCACGCGUGAAGGGAUAAAUACUGAAAGCAUCUAAGUAUGAAACCCACCUCGAAAAGAGAC